rnacentral:tmRNA from 1 species
GGGGCUGACUGGAUUUGACAGCAAUGGUAAUUAUAUAAUAAGCAUGUCGAGUAUUGUAUUUUAUCUCGUAAAUAAUAAAAUACAUUUUUUUAAUUGGCGAAAAUAAUUACGCUUUAGCUGCCUAAUUAAUAUAAUUAGACAAGCUUUUGUCUCUUUUAAAGGAUUUCCUGAUUCCUUUAUUAAUGAGGCAUUAUUAAUUUCAGGAUAGUUUACUUAUUGCUUGAAUAAGUAAAUAAAAUUUAAAAGCUAAGGAAAAAAUUGGUUGCAUCUUUCCUGCUUUUUCUCGAAAAAUAAAAGAUGAUAAACAUGUAGAAAAUUAUUUAGUUCAUUGUUUGGACGUGGGUUCGAAACCCACCAGCUCCACCA